UACGUAGGGUGCAAGCGUUGUCCGGAUUUAUUGGGCGUAAAGAGCUCGUAGGCGGUCUGUCGCGUCGGAUGUGAAAACCCAGGGCUCAACCCUGGGCCUGCAUUCGAUACGGGCAGACUAGAGUGUGGCAGGGGAGACUGGAAUUCCUGGUGUAGCGGUGAAAUGCGCAGAUAUCGGGAGGAACACCGGUGGCGAAGGCGGUUCUCUGGGCCUUACCUGACGCUGAGGAGCGAAAGCGUGGGGAGCGAACAGG
rnacentral:rRNA from 1 species